CAGAGGCUGAAGACAAUCUUGCACAAGCAUUUUGUCUAGUAGGAGACUUUCAAUCUGCAAGGGACCAUUGUAAAGAAUCAAUCAAGAUACUUGAGAUGCUAUACGGCAAUGAUCACAUUGCAAUUGGAUAUGAAUUGGUUAAACUUUCAACCAUUCAGCUGUCCUUGGGCGAUCCUCAUGCUGCAGACGCCAUAAAUCGGCUAGGUUUAAUAUUUGUGAGGUAUCACGGAUCACACA
rnacentral:misc_RNA from 1 species